rnacentral:ncRNA from 1 species
GGAACUUAGAAGUCGUUAGUGUUCUGUACUUCAUCAGCAAUGCCUGAACACGAUGUUCAGGCAAGCUGCCACUGAGCCACGGAUGGCGAAUUGGCAGCGAUUGCGUGUGUCUUCGAUAACGCAAAUCAGAACACUUACUACUUCUUAGUUUCA